rnacentral:tRNA from 1 species
CUGCCCGUAGCUCAACUGGAUAGAGCAUCGGCCUUCUAAGCCGAAGGUUGCAGGUUCGAUCCCUGCCGGGCAGGCCA